AGCAGCCGCGGUAAUUCCAGCUCCAAUAGCGUAUAUUAAAGUUGUUGCAGUUAAAAAGCUCGUAGUUGAAUUUCGGGGUUAGUAGGUUGGUCAUGCCUCUGGUAUGUACUGGUCUCACUGAUUCCUCCUUCCUGAUGAACCUUAAUGCCAUUAAUUUGGUGUUUUGGGGAAUUUGGACUGUUACUUUGAAAAAAUUAGAGUGUUUAAAGCAAGCUAACGCUUGAAUACAUUAGCAUGGAAUAAUGAAAUAGGACGUUCGAUCCUAUUUUGUUGGUUUCUAGGAUUGACGUAAUGAUUAAUAGGGAUAGUUGGGGGCAUUAGUAUUCAAUUGUCAGAGGUGAAAUUCUUGGAUUUAUUGAAGACUAACUACUGCGAAAGCAUUUGCCAAGGAUGUUUUCAUUAAUCAAGAACGAAAGUUAGGGGAUCGAAGACGAUCAGACACCGUCGUAGUCUUAACCAUAAACUAUGCCGACUAGGGAUCGGAUGAUGUUAAUUUUUAAUGACUCAUUCGGCGCCUUAC
rnacentral:rRNA from 1 species